CUAUUACCAAAAAUGUUCCUCCUCCCUUCAGGUACCCAUCUAAAAAAGAAUAUCAUGAUUAAAUACAUCUAAAUUUUCGAAUCCUAGAAUCUCUUCUGGGAUCGUCAACGACGAAACCCCUAUUUAAGGAAUUUUUAGAUCGAGGGAGUCGUAUCUGUAACGUCCAACAAAAUUCUAAGACUUUUGUUUAAAUACUUUUUUCGAGAUUUUCUCAUUAACUUGACUGGAUUAUCGUGUACAAAAGGUUCUCAUGCUCCUGCGCAGAAAGUUCUCUUCUUAUGUAACGGUUUUCAGGACAAAUUAGCGAAGUACGAUGAGUCGGUUGAAAUAUGACGCGUUAAAUUUCGUAGGAAGCAUAAAUUCUCAGCGCCCGGUGGUUUGCGUGACUAAUGACGAUGCAUGAUAAACGAGACGGAUCGACAAAGUGCGCGGCAAAACAUCGAGAAUUCUCCUUGAUGGACGAGGUUUCUACUAGGCGGACGGGUGAUUAAGACGAAAGCUAAAACAAGCUUCCUAGGAAGAGGGAGAAAGAAAAACGAUAAAGUUCUUAGGCAUCUUUUACGAAUUUCCUGUUAAAGAAUCGAUGAUCUUGAUUCUUUAAGAGAUGUAAGACGUUGCAGAUGCGACCUCAAUGAGAAUAUACAUCACAUAGGCUUAGCCAGAGCUAGCUAUUAAGUCCACUCUUCCCCCUUUUUAAGAGCAGUAGGCAAAUUAAAGCACCGCAAGCAUUUUACAAAACCUCUCACGAGCGAUCUAUAGUUAAAGAGUAACGAGAACAUGAUUAAUUAUUCAUAUAUCUACGUUCUCGAAUUUAUUCAAGUUAACAUUACGCGUAAUAUACGUAAUGAUGCCGUCAAUGCAAAUCACUUUAUUACUUUUAAUUUAAUAUUCGUAAUUUUGAAUACUUCGUACCAAUUAGAACUAAUGUUUUUUUUUUCUUGCAUCGACGACAUCCUUGCCAACUUAUUCAGUUAGAUGACCGAAAUCUUUUUUUUAGAGAGACGUACGAGAGAGAAACUCCUCGCUCUUCGUUCCCUCUCGUCGUCUCGAUUCAAGCGCGAUUUAUUAUUAAAAAAAAAGAAGAAAAAA